UUUUUGGGCAAAUCCAAAAUGCUGAGGAAAAGAAACCAACAGGGAUUGCCUUAGUAGCGGCGAGUGAGCGGCAAAAGCUCAAAUUUGAAAUCUGGCUCUUUCAGAGUCCGAGUUGUAAUUUGAAGAAGGUAUCUUUGGGUCUGGCUCUUGUCUAUGUUUCUUGGAACAGAACGUCACAGAGGGUGAGAAUCCCGUGCGAUGAGAUGAUCCAGGCCUAUGUAAAGUUCCUUCGAAGAGUCGAGUUGUUUGGGAAUGCAGCUCUAAGUGGGUGGUAAAUUCCAUCUAAAGCUAAAUAUUGGCGAGAGACCGAUAGCGAACAAGUACAGUGAUGGAAAGAUGAAAAGAACUUUGAAAAGAGAGUGAAAAAGUACGUGAAAUUGUUGAAAGGGAAGGGCUUGAGAUCAGACUUGGUAUUUUGUAUGUUACUUCUUCGGGGGUGGCCUCUACAGUUUAUCGGGCCAGCAUCAGUUUGGGCGGUAGGAGAAUUGCGUUGGAAUGUGGCACGGCUUCGGUUGUGUGUUAUAGCCUUCGUCGAUACUGCCAGCCUAGACUGAGGACUGCGGUUUAUACCUAGGAUGUGGCAAAUAACCUUAAGUCGACCGUCAUGACACCGAGCACCCCAAA
rnacentral:rRNA from 1 species